UGGCUCAGAACGAACGCUGGCGGCGUGCUUAACACAUGCAAGUCGAACGCGAAAGGGACUUCGGUCCUGAGUAAAGUGGCGCACGGGUGAGUAACGCGUAGAUAACCUGUCUUCGUGUCUGGAAUAAUACGCCGAAAGGGGUACUAAUACCGGAUAUUCUUGCUUUUCAUAAGUUAUGCAAGCAAAGGUGGCCUCUGCAUAUGCUACUGCAUGAAGAGGGGUCUGCGUACCAUUAGCUAGUAGGUGGGGUAAUGGCCUACCUAGGCGACGAUGGUUAGCGGGUCUGAGAGGAUGAUCCGCCACACUGGCACUGGAACACGGGCCAGACUCCUACGGGAGGCAGCAGUGAGGAAUAUUGCGCAAUGGGGGAAACCCUGACGCAGCGACGCCGCGUGAGUGAAGGAAGGCCUUCGGGUCGUAAAGCUCUGUCAAGAGGAAAGAAGUGUACAAUGGCUAAUACCUGUUGUAUUUGACGGUACCUCUAAAGGAAGCACCGGCUAACUCCGUGCCAGCAGCGGC
rnacentral:rRNA from 1 species